UACGGAGGGGGCUAGCGUUGUUCGGAAUCAUUGGGCGUAAAGGGCGCGUAGGCGGCCGAUCAAGUCGGAGGUGAAAUCCCUCGGCUCAACUGAGGAAUUGCCUUCGAUACUGGUCGGCUUGAGUCCUGGAGAGGGUAGCGGAAUUCCUGGUGUAGCGGUGAAAUGCGCAGAUAUCAGGAAGAACACCAAUGGCGAAGGCAGCUCUCUGGGACGGUACUGACGCUGAGACGCGAAAGCGUGGGGAGCGAACAGG
rnacentral:rRNA from 1 species